CAAACGCAAACCCUUUGUGACGCGGUGAAUAAAGAACGUUGUUAACGUUCCUUCCGUACUGUUGACACAGGUCUACAAACACGCUCCCCAAAAGUUUCUGUUCUGCGUGUUCUUGCGGAGUUCCAACAGGUGUCAUCGGGGAUGGUGAUGAGGACAGACGUGUGAAGGGCGUGCUCAAAGUUGAAGCAGCCUACUGUCCUCCACCGUCCUCAUGGCUGAAGAGAUCAGGAGAAUAGCUGCUCUGCUAGAUCAGCCACUGAGUGAGAGAGACCAGGAACUCAUCACUUACGUCAAGCACAAGUUUGCCACAGACUUCAAAAAAGAACACAGUUACUUCCCUGAGAAGGUUGUUACCCGCAGUGACACACAGUAUGGCCUCGUACAAAAUGGCCAGGCCAGGAAGAACUACUACAGGAGACAGGAGCUGCUCAGGAAAGGCUUUUUCUCCCCUGUCAACAAACCAUACAAAACAGUGGGAAGACUUUACUCUGACAACGUUGAUCUCUUCUCAACCUGGCUCACAUCAGAGGACCAAAAGUCACUGAAGACACAGUGGGACAAGAAGUUUGGAAAAAAUACAGUGAUCUCCAGCAAAUUCACUCAGGAGAAGACUAAAAAGGAGGAGAACGUCAGAGCCCCUCCAGUGGAGAACCUGAAUGGUUUCCUUCAGCUGAAGCAGUACAUGAGAGAGAUGGUCUCCAUCAGACGUGCUCUCCACACUGGGCGCCCCCUCAUAUAUUGCCUCAGAGACCAGGGUGUUGGCGCCGUCUCGUCUCGCCGCGACGGGGUGUUGGCGCCGCCUCGCCGCGACGGGGUGUUGGCGCCGUCUCGCCGCGACGGGGUGUUGGCGCCGUCUCGCCGCGACGGGGUGUUGGCGCCGUCUCGCCGCGACGGGGUGUUGGCGCCGUCUCGCCGCGACGGGGUGUUGGCGCCGUCUCGCCGCGACGGGGUGUUGGAGCCGUCUCGCCGCGACGGGGUGUUGGAGCCGUCUCGCCGCGACGGGGUGUUGGAGCCGUCUCGCCGCGACGGGGUGUUGGAGCCGUCUCGCCGCGACGGGGUGUUGGAGCCGUCUCGCCGCGACGGGGUGUUGGAGCCGUCUCGCCGCGACGGGGUGUUGGGGCCGUCUCGCCGCGACGGGGUGUUGGAGCCGUCUCGCCGCGACGGGGUGUUGGAGCCGUCUCGCUGUAACAUGAAGAAUUCAUGUUGUCUCCUCUAUUUUCUCAUUGUAAAGGAUAAACCAUUAUUGCUCAUGAAGAAACCUGUGCCUCCCAAAACACCAUGUGACCGAGCCAUAUCAGCUGAUAAAGAGACUAUACCACCACUGUCCAUGUACCAACAGGCACUGGACCCAGAGGAAGAGGAGAACCUACAGAGGAUACAGUACAGGAAGCAGAAGCUGUUCUCAGAGAAACUCCAGUGGAUUUACAUGGUCCUGUGUGGCAUCUCUCACAUGCGAAACAGAGAUCUGAAGACACUGGUUCCUCUCAACAGCAGCUAUGUGAACAUCAUCAUGAAGGACACAGAGAAGACCAACAUCCUGCUGAAGCAGUCGCACAGCUACAACCCUCCGUUGAAUUACACCAGGCAGCUGGUGUCCCUGGCCCCAGAGGACUGUCACAGCAUCAGCCGUGACGUGUGGGACACCUUCAUCAGUCACCAGGACACCACAGAGCCCUCGAAGUUAACCACCACCCGAACCACAGGAUAUAAAGCUCUGCAGUCGGGGCCCAGGCGCAAGGUGCCAGACGGAGAUGGAUACAUGCCCCCAUGGCUGCUACUGCUGCUGGAUGAGAACACGUCCCUAGAGAAGAAAACAGUAAAGCCUGGUGUAGACCAGUCAGGCAUGCUGGAGAGAGCCAAGGAGCAUUACCGGGAUGUGAAGAAGGUUCUGAACAUCCCAAUGGAGUCAGUAGUGUUUCAAAAGAGAAAGAACCGAGAGGAGAGGAUGAGAACUCUUUUCAAUGCUCUAAUGGCCUCAAAGUCCGACGCUGGUCUGUCCUCACUCCUUAUCUCUGUGAAGAGUGGGCUGAAGGAGCCCAAAUCCACCACUGGUCUCUGGUUUGCGACACUGCAGAGUGAUGCCACAGAAUUGUCUGGAGACAGAGACUCCCAAUACAACGUCAUACUGCAGAAGAUCUCAGAGUUUCAAAGCUUCUCCAACAAAAAGCUCCCCUACUCCAAGGAGAAGUUCUGUCUCCUGGUCCUCUCCAUGUCACCCAAUCAGCUGCUUCGACCGGCCAUGCAGGAAGCACUGCUCUUCCUCACGGAGAACGUGCUGCUGUUGUUGCCGCGGCAACUCAAACAGUGGUACCAGUACCUGAAGCUCCCCUUCCCCACCACGGCAACCGCCUCCUGAAAAAGAAAAGGGAUCCGCCUACUUGCACUGGUGCUCUCUCUGUUCUUCACUACCUGUCUACAAUGUGGGCCUGGGACUUACAGGCCUGGGUUGAGUCUGAAAUGGCUCCUUCUCCUCAACAUAGACGUGGGAUAGCCAGUGUUGGGGGUUCAGGUCGAGACGAUCUGUUA
ensembl:lncRNA